UCGAUUCAGAAACUGCCCUUGCUGUUAGAAUUUGGUUAGAUUUGUAGUUAAAUCCUAUUUGGAUAAGAAUUAAUAUUUAAAUCUGUUUGAGAUAAAUUAAGAUUUAAAUAUUAAUUAGAGGAUAAAUCUAACUAGAUUAGGAUUAAUAUUUAAAUCUAUUAGAGAUUAAUUAAGAUAGAUUUAGAUAUUAAUUGGAAUAGAAAUCCUAAAUAUAUUAGGAUUGGGGUACGUUUUAGUGGAGCUUUAUAAAUAGCUCUUUGUUGGUUUGUUUUUGAGGUGAAGUACGGGAGAGAGAGAGAGAGAGUCUCUUGGGUUGCCGUACCAGAGAGAGAAAAAGAGAGAGAGAAAGAGAGUUAUUUAAUUAUGCUUUGAGUGCACCUAGUGCACGGGUGCAUGUGAAGGAUUGUCUUCUUUAUGGAUUUAUAGAAGACGAGAGAAUGGUAGAAAAGAUUCAGAAAGAGGGCUCGGGUUGUAGCUACUCUGUGCAGUAGAGGAGUCAGGUGUAAUCUUCUCUUAUUUAAUGAAUCUUAUUUUACUCGUAUAUUUUCUAUUUUUUGGUAUUUCUCUCUUUUAUGAUUGUAUCAGCUUUUGCUGAGGAGACGGGUUUAUGGUAAAAAUCCGAUUCGACAUUUCCGUUGCGGAAUCCCAACAAUCAAUACCGAAUCCACAGCAAUCGGUAUCGGAGCGGGUUGUGGAUUCACGAGAUCCGGUACCGGGGCGAGUACCGGAUUCCCAACAAGUGGUAUCAGAGCCGAAGGUUACCGAUCUGCGGGAGAAAUCGACAAAGAUGGCCACGAAAUUCGAAAUCGAGAAGUUCGACGGCAAGAACAAUUUCGGAUUAUGGCAAAUUAAAGUACGAGCAAUCCUCGUACAGCAAGAAUUGGACGAGACAUUGAACGGGAAGGAGGCGAAGCCGGCGGAGGUCACGGAUGCGACAUGGACGAAGAUGGAGCGGAAGGCACUGAGUACGCUUCAUCUCUCAUUAGCAGAUGAGGUUCUUUACAACGUAGCCAGUGAGACGACACCAGCGAAGUUGUGGAAGAAACUAGAAGAUCUGUAUAUGACCAAAUCCUUGACGAACAGGUUAUAUCUGAUGCAGCGAUUGUUUACGCUGCGGAUGCAUGAAGCGGCAAGCCUACAUGAUCAUCUGAACGAGUUCAACAAGGUGGUGGCCCAGUUGACCAGCAUCGGAGUCAAUCUGGAUGAUGAAGACAAGGCGUUGAUCCUACUAUCUUCGCUACCGACGACAUAUGAGCAUCUGGUGACCACGUUGCUUUAUGGCGAGGAGUCCAUAAGCGUGGAGGCGGUCACGGCGGCGCUUCUCUCGAACGAGAUGCGGAAGAUGACUCAGGAGUCCGGCACACAGAGCAGGGAUAUAGCUUUGGUGGUGAGAGCGAAGAAGGAGGCGACAACAUCAGCGACCGGAUAUCGACAGAAGAAACCGCUAUCUGAGGUAGAAUGCUUUUACUGUCACAGGAAGGGGCAUAUCAAGCGCAAUUGUCGAAAACUUCAGGAUAAUCUGAAGGAGUUAAAGCGACAGACGGAGCAAACUGUCGUGAACCAGGAUGAGACGGUAUCAGCGACGGCGCAGACAGCAGAAUCGGAGAUGAUCGAUUCUGAUGUGCUAUAUGCAGCGACCGGAGGUGCGAAAAUUUCGGAUGACGCGUGGGUGCUCGAUUCGGCGUGUUCUUUUCACGUAUGCCCGGAGAAGGAGUCUUUUGCAACCUAUAAGACGAUCAAAGGUGGAAAAGCUCUAAUGGGGAACGGGACGACGUGCAAAGUUUUGGGAGUCGGCACGGUGAAGAUCCGAAUGCACGAUGGAGUCGUGAGGACGCUGACAGGUGUGCAACACAUUCCUGGAUUGAGACGAAAUUUGAUCUCGUUAGGCGCGUUGGACUCGAAAGGUUGUGAUAUUUCGGCUUCAGGUGGAGCUAUGAGUGUCCGAAAACGAGAUCGGAUCGUAUGCGAGGCGAACAAGCGUGGGAACUUAUACAUUCUGAACGGGAGCACAGCCAGAACGGGAGCGAAGACGGUUUGGGUUCCAAAAGUUCGCGGAUGUGCAGUUGCUCGAGACGGAGCGACGGAUGCGGCGACAUCGAGCGGAGGAGACAAGCUCAAGGUGGAGCUUGCAUGGUGAGCUCGACGUAGCGGUUGAAAAUUACAAAUCAAACCAAGGUGGAAAAUGUUAGAAUUUGGUUAGAUUUGUAGUUAAAUCCUAUUUGGAUAAGAAUUAAUAUUUAAAUCUGUUUGAGAUAAAUUAAGAUUUAAAUAUUAAUUAGAGGAUAAACCUAACUAGAUUAGGAUUAAUAUUUAAAUCUAUUAGAGAUUAAUUAAGAUAGAUUUAGAUAUUAAUUGGAAUAGAAAUCCUAACUAUAUUAGGAUUGGGGUACAUUUUAGUGGAGCCUUAUAAAUAGCUCUUUGUGAGUUUGCUUUUGAGGUGAAGUACGGGAGAGAGAGAGAGAGUCUCUUGGGUUGCCGUACCAGAGAGAGAAAAAGAGAGAGAGAGUUUGCUUUUGAGGUGAAGUACGGGAGAGAGAGAGAGAGUCUCUUGGGUUGCCGUACCAGAGAGAGAAAAAGAGAGAGAGAGAGAGAGAGAGUUAUUUAAUUAUGCUUUGAGUGCAC
rnacentral:lncRNA from 1 species